rnacentral:tRNA from 1 species
GAGGGUAUAGCUCAGUGGUAGAGCAUGCCCUUAGCAUGCAUGAGGUCCUGGGUUCAAUUCUCAGUACCUGCA